rnacentral:rRNA from 1 species
UACGAAGGGGGCUAGCGUUGUUCGGAAUUACUGGGCGUAAGCGCGCGCAGGCGGCUAUCCAAGUCAGUGGUGAAAGCCCGGAGCUCAACUCCGGACUGCCAUUGAAACUGUUUAGCUUGAGGACGAGAGAGGUGAGUGGAAUUCCCAGUGUAGAGGUGAAAUUCGUAGAUAUUGGAAGAACACCAAUGGCGAAGGCGGCUCACUG